rnacentral:rRNA from 1 species
UGAAGAGCCAACGGUGGAUGCCUUGGCGCCAGAUGCCGAUGAAGGACGUGGGUGGCUGCGAAAAGCCACGGGGAGCUGCCGACCAAGCUUUGAUCCGUGGAUAUCCCAAUGGGGAAACCCGGCUGGGGUCAUGCCCAGUCACCCCUGCCUGAACACAUAGGGCAGGUGGAGGGAACCGGGGGAACUGAAACAUCUCAGUACCCCGAGGAAUGGAAAGCAACUGCGACUCCCCGAGUAGCGGCGAGCGAAACGGGAAGAGCCCAAACCGUCGUAGUGGUACAGCCUGCCGGCGAUGCUGCGACGGGGUUGUGGGACCCGCCAGAAGGGACGGCAGACCCUUCAGGGAGUUAUCAAGUCAUCGAGGAGUGGAAGCGCUCUGGAAAGGCGCGCCACAGAGGGUAAUGGCCCCGUACACGAACCUUGAAUGACCUCCCGGUGGUGUUCCCAAGUAGUACGGGAUCCGGGAAAGCCCGUACGAAUCUGCGAGGACCACCUCGUAAGGCUAAGUACACGCUGGCGACCGAUAGUGCACGAGUACCGUGAGGGAAAGGUGAAAAGUACCCCGGGAGGGGAGUGAAAUAGAACCUGAAACCGUUGGCUUACAAGCAGUCAGAGCGGAGCUUGCUCCGUGAUGGCGUGCCUUUUGAAGAAUGAGCCGGCGAGUUACCGUUCGUGGCGAGGUUAACCCGAGAGGGGGAGCCGGAGCGAAAGCGAGUCUGAAUGGGGCGUUUAGUCGCGAACGAUAGACCCGAAGCCGAGUGAUCUAUCCAUGGGCAGGCUGAAGCGAGGGUAAGACCUCGUGGAGGGCCGAACCCACCAAGGUUGAAAACUUGGGGGAUGACCUGUGGAUAGGGGUGAAAGGCCAAGCAAACUCGGUGAUAGCUGGUUCUCCCCGAAAUGCAUUUAGGUGCAGCGUCGGGCGUUCAGCAUCGGAGGUAGAGCACUGAAUGGGCUAGGGGGCCUACAAGCUUACUGACCCCAAUCAAACUCCGAAUGCCGAUGCUCCAGAGUCUGGCAGUGAGACCACGAGGGAUGAGCUUCGUUGGUCAAAAGGGAAACAGCCCAGACCGCCAGCUAAGGCCCCAAAUUCUAGGCUAAGUGGAAAACGAUGUGGGAACGCAGAGACAGCCAGGAGGUUGGCUUAGAAGCAGCCACCCUUGAAAGAGUGCGUAAUAGCUCACUGGUCGAGUGAUCCUGCGCCGACAAUGUAACGGGGCUCAAGCACAGUGCCGAAGCUGCGUCAUGCGUAUGCAUGGGUAGGGGAGCGUCGAUCUCUGCAGUGAAGCGACCGGGGAACCGUGUCGUGGAGCGUGGUCGAGUGCGAAUGCCGGUAUGAGUAGCGAACGAGGGGGGAGGAACCCCUCCGCCGAAUGCCCAAGGGUUCCUGGGGAAGGCUCAUCCGCCCAGGGUUAGUCGGGAGCUAAGGCGAGGUCGAAAGACGUAGUCGAUGCACAACAGGUUGAUAUUCCUGUACCACCAUGUGCGCGCCCAACCUAAUGGCGAAGCGAUCGGGGGCUGCCCUUCGGGGCGAACCCGGCCCGUGCGCCGGCAGGUAGCGAUGGGGGGACGCAGGAGGGUAGGUCUACCGGGCGAUGGUUGACCCGGAGCAAGCAUGUAGGGGGACCGGUAGGUAAAUCCGCCGGUCAUCAACCCCGAGAUGUGAUGCCGAACCGCUUCAGGUGAAGUGACUGAUCCCAUGCUGCCGAGAAAAGCCCCUAGCGAGCUCACAUGGUGCCCGUACCCCAAACCGACUCAGGUGGGCACGUAGAGAAUACGAAGGCGAUCGGGAUAACUCUGGUUAAGGAACUCGGCAAAUUGCCCCCGUAACUUCGGAAGAAGGGGGGCCUCAAUAGAGUGAUGGACUUCGCGUCCUGAGCUCGAGGAGGCCGCAGAGACCAGGGCCAAGCGACUGUUUACUAAAAACACAGGUGCGUGCUAAGUCGUAAGACGAUGUAUACGCACUGACGCCUGCCCGGUGCCGGAAGGUUACGGGGAAGGGUUAGCCGCAAGGCGAAGCUCUGAACCUAAGCCCCGGUAAACGGCGGCCGUAAGGACAAUUGCGGCUCUCGGGAGGUAACUCCCGAGAACAAACUCCGCUAUAUGCUGGAAACCCCGAGUAUCCGGCGGUACUGGUCGUGUCGUGUCACACCCAGUUGGUUGGGUGUGGACGUGACCAGUGACAAUCCGACCGGUGCGGACAAUCAGCAGGAAAGGCUCGGCUCAACAACCUGGCUGGACGCAGUUGAACCCGACCUCGGUCAUUACGUGGCGGGUUUCGUCGACGGUGAGGGGAGCUUCAACGUCCCUAUCCGUCGAGAACGCGACCGGUCGCUGCCAUGGCGUGUCUCGCUAUCGUUCAACGUCUCCCAGAUCGGCGUGGAAGCUCCCAAGCUUCUCCGCUCGGUCUUCGGCGUAGGAACGGUGCGCGGGCGCCUUGACGGCGUCUUCUACUUCGAAGUCACGAAGCCGAACGAGCUCGAAGCGCGGGUCUUUCCGUUCUUCGACCGGUUUCCGCUCCGUGGCGCGAAGUCAUGCGAUCUGAUGGUCUUCCGUCAGAUCGCCGGUCUGGUCCAGGCUGGCCAUCACUUGUCUGCCGCAGGAAUUGAGGACAUCCUCGCUCUGAGGGGUCCCAUGAACCGCGGGGGAAAGCGACGCCGGAGCGACGCUGAAAUCGUCGCCGUGUUGAGGAGCCGAGAAUCCUCAGAGGCCAUACGCGGAGCUCCCUCGUAGAAGCCGAGGGAUGAAGAUAUGGUCCACGCCCCAUGGCGACAUGGGGAAUCCGUGAACUAUAACGGUCCUAAGGUAGCGAAA